rnacentral:lncRNA from 1 species
GAGUACUAAGGCUUCAAGUACUGAGGCUUCACAUAAGUGACAUUUGUGAAGGCUCCCUUUUUUUUUUUUUUUUUUUUUUUUACGCAUUUGUAAUUUCUUAGAGAUAUCAAUGGACAUGCUUUAUUUUAUUCAGUAUGUUGUGCUAAAUACAAAUAAAACGUACAUCUGACUAAAAUGCGUUACUUCCUUUUUUUUUUAAUUAAUUUUUUUUUAUAUGGUGCCUGACACACCCAUUUCCUUUUAGAUGGUGACUAAUGCACUAUUCUUUCACCCUUUUUUUUUUUUAGUUGGCACUUUCUUUUUGUACACAAUUGUAUUUUCCCAAUGCACCAUUUAGGAUAGCUGGCACCUUGCACUUUUUUGGCACUUUCUUUUUUGUACACCAUUGUAUUUUCCCAAUGCACCAUUUAGGAUAGCUGGCACCUUGCACUUUUUUGGCACUUUCUUUUUUGUACACAAUUGUAUUUUCCCAAUGCACCAUUUAGGGUAGCUGGCACCUUGCACUUUUUUUUUUCUUUAUAUAUGGUGCUUUGUAAGGAUGGAACUCGACGGACGGUGAGCUGCAGUCGAGGCUUCAUGACCGGCUAGUCGUUUGACGGCGGUUUAUUGAAGUUCUUCGUCAUUGUUGUUUGCCACGGACGAAGAGAAGGCCUUUGGGUGUGAGUUGGGCAAACUUUGGUUUUAUCAAUCACAUUCAAAGGCAGC